AACAAACGCUGGCGGCGCGCUUAACACAUGCAAGUCGAACGAGAAGCUGUAGCAAUACAGUUGUAAAGUGGCAAACGGGUGAGUAAUGCGUGGGUAAUCUACCCUAGGGUGGGGAAUAACUCCUCGAAAGGGGAGGCUAAUGCCGACAUGUGCGCCACUCUCGCAAGGGAGUGAUGGAAAGCCGUACCGUGGGUGCGGCGCCCAACGGAUGAGCUCACGUCCUAUCAGCUUGUU
rnacentral:rRNA from 1 species